CGUGUGCUUACAAGUAGUCAGAGCCCGUUAAUGGGUGAUGGCGUGCCUUUUGUAGAAUGAACCGGCGAGUUACGAUUUGAUGCAAGGUUAAGCAGUAAAUGUGGAGCCGUAGCGAAAGCGAGUCUGAAUAGGGCGUUUAGUAUUUGGUCGUAGACCCGAAACCAGGUGAUCUACCCUUGGUCAGGUUGAAGUUCAGGUAACACUGAAUGGAGGACCGAACCGACUUACGUUGAAAAGUGAGCGGAUGAACUGAGGGUAGCGGAGAAAUUCCAAUCGAACCUGGAGAUAGCUGGUUCUCUCCGAAAUAGCUUUAGGGCUAGCCUCAAGUGAUGAUUAUUGGAGGUAGAGCACUGUUUGGACGAGGGGCCCCUCUCGGGUUACCGAAUUCAGACAAACUCCGAAUGCCAAUUAAUUUAACUUGGGAGUCAGAACAUGGGUGAUAAGGUCCGUGUUCGAAAGGGAAACAGCCCAGACCACCAGCUAAGGUCCCAAAAUAUAUGUUAAGUGGAAAAGGAUGUGGCGUUGCCCAGACAACUAGGAUGUUGGCUUAGAAGCAGCCAUCAUUUAAAGAGUGCGUAAUAGCUCACUAGUCGAGUGACACUGCGCCGAAAAUGUACCGGGGCUAAACAUAUUACCGAAGCUGUGGAUUGUCCUUUGGACAAUGGUAGGAGAGCGUUCUAAGGGCGUUGAAGCAUGAUCGUAAGGACAUGUGGAGCGCUUAGAAGUGAGAAUGCCGGUGUGAGUAGCGAAAGACGGGUGAGAAUCCCGUCCACCGAUUGACUAAGGUUUCCAGAGGAAGGCUCGUCCGCUCUGGGUUAGUCGGGUCCUAAGCUGAGGCCGACAGGCGUAGGCGAUGGAUAACAGGUUGAU
rnacentral:rRNA from 1 species